rnacentral:rRNA from 1 species
GGUUGCGAUCAUACCAGCACUAAUGCACCGGAUCACAUCAGAACUCCGCAGUUAAGCGUGCUUGGGCGAGAGUAGUACUAGGAUGGGUGACCCCCUGGGAAGUCCUCGUGUUGCAACCCC